UGCAUUCCUCAGUCUCAUUCGAUGUAUGCGACAGCUGGCUAUAACACACCCGGAGGUGCCACCUUCCAGCUGCCCUUAUCCACCGAACAAAACUGAUGUUGACCCGACUGAGGGGAAUACACCGGCAGAACCGGCUGAGCCUCUCAGUCACGACUGACUUCAAUCGUUUCCCUUUCAACAAUUUCACGUACUGUUUAACUCUCUUUCCAAAGUGCUUUUCAUCUUUCCCUCACGGUACUUGUUCGCUAUCGGUCUCUCGCCAAUAUUUAGCUUUAGAUGGAACUCACCACCCAUUUUGAGCUGCAUUCCCAAACAACUCGACUCGUAGAAGACGUAUCACAGAGCACCGGUCAUUGUGUCAAGUACGGGAUUAUCACCCUCUUUGAUACCCUGUUCCAAGGGACUUAGACACAGUCCGGCACGGAAAACGCCUCUAUAGAUUACAACUCGGACGCACUGAGCACGCCAGA
rnacentral:rRNA from 1 species